rnacentral:rRNA from 1 species
UACAGAGACUGCAAGCGUUAUUCGGAUUCACUGGGCGUAAAGGGUGCGCAGGCGGCCGGGUGUGUCAGAUGUGAAAUCCCUCAGCUUAACUGGGGAACUGCGUCUGAUACUGGCGAGCUUGAGUGCAGGAGAGGAACGCGGAAUUCCAGGUGUAGCGGUGAAAUGCGUAGAUAUCUGGAGGAACACCGGUGGCGAAGGCGGCGUUCUGGACUGCAACUGACACUGAUGAACGAAAGCCAGGGGAGCAAACGGG